GAAAAUAUGCAGCUCUGUCGUCACAGGCUCUCAUUAGAAAUAUGCAGCUUGUGGAAAAGGAGCCCCCUACACAACCCAUUGUAAACUUUUCUCUCUUGCAGUUCUAACAAAGGCAGGCAAUGCUUGGAGCCCAAGCGCAGGGAAUGCUCUUCUCAGGGCCUCCUGAGAGGCAGCAGCCAGUCCCCCAAACUCUGCUCAUCUGAGGCAUGAAACUCCCUGUGAUGUCUGCUGAUAGCGAGAUUAACAUAGCAAGCCAACAAGUGAGCACGAGCAGAUGCCGGAGAGGAGACCUAGUGCAUCCUGUCUCUGGGCAGGAUGUGGAGGGAUCUGAGUGCGCACAUCCUCUCAACGUCCUGUUGCUUGUGCUGAGUACCUGUCAACCCCCGAAACACGCACAUGCCCUCCUCCCCCUCAAUAUCUGACUUCUGGAAUUCAGGAGACAGUUCCUUGUUGGGUGCAGCUACCCAAGUGCUGCCUAUUAAAUAGCAUAGCAUGAAUACCAGUGAAACAUUUAGUUAAUGGUAAACUUGAAGUUCUAACUGGACAAAUAUGCCCCCUCGAUCACAUUAAUCUGUUUAUGGUCCAGUCAUACUUUUCCUGGCCUCCUAGAAAUGUAAGUAUUAGAGUCAAUUUUAAUUCUGUUAAUGGACAAUGAAAAGGCUAAUCACACACCAAUUAAUCACAACGAUCUUGAUUUAUUUACUCCUUUCCUAGAAAAAAAAUCUUAUGAAUUGAUUUUAUCAAGUAAUUUAUUGUAGGGCUCCAAAACUAAGCAAUAUGUAAGCACUGCUAAAUGAUCUAAAUAAGAUAGGAAUGCAUGCGUAGUUUAAAGAGCAACACUGAUGCCCAGUUUGGGGGAAAAUGCCCUACAGUGUCUGGCAUAUUAUAGCUAUAUGAUCUUCUAUUAUAGUGUGAUUGGAAUAAGAUACACAUUAUGAAAUAGGACUCCAGAUUUCAGUUUUGCAAAAAUAAUUAGAUUUCCCCUGAAUUACCUGAUGACUGAAGAGAAACCAAAGGAUACAACUCACUUCGUCUUUAUUUACAGAGCACCACGGGUAUGGCAAGAUGCUUGCAAUGAGACUUCUGACUAGGAGAGUCCAGAACUAGUGACAGGGCCCCCACAGCAAGGGCUGGGGAGUACAGAUGGAAGGGUCAGUCUGGGAGUGAAACGUGUCCAAAGAGGAUGAUGACAACAGGAAAGAGGCUGAGCAGACAUGCAACAUGUAGGGAGCAAGAUGAGGCCAUGAGGUGGCAAAGCAAGACAUGAGGAAUCCAAGGGAGGCAAAGCCAAGAAUGCCAGGUGGACAGGCAGGCAGCACAGUCCGUCAGCAGGUGGCUGGAGUGCUGGGGAAUUAAAAAUAAGCUCAGUGGGGCUGGCCUGGUGGCGUGGUGGUUAAAAAGAAAAAAGCUUGGUCCAGUAAUCUUGAACAGAAGAGACACUGGUUCACGGUAAUUGUAACUUCAUUCAUUCAUUCAUUUAUUCAGCACAUGCUUAUCGGGAAUUUAUGGGUGUCAGGCACUUUGCUAGCCCUGAGGAUUUAGCCCAGAAUAAGACAGUGAGCUUCUGGAGCUUACAUUCUCAUGGCUUGAUUCUGCUCCCAGAGCCCAAGGCGGGCCAGGCCUGCACGUGAGGACCAAGGGGCUGCAGCAGUGGGAGGUGGAGGGAGGCCAAACCAGGAGUUAGGUGCCAUCCAGCUCGGGCUAUGUGCCAAGACCAAGCAGAAGAAACAGAGACAAAUGAGACCUGGACCCUGUCCUCCAGGGGCUUAUAUGUGAAAGAAGAAGACAAAUAAGACCGAACAGAGAAGGGCUGUACAGAACAUGCAGAUGGUUAUAGGAACAGAGCAGAGAAAUAGAUUAAAGUCCAUCUGGGGGACUCAAUAAGGCGCUUUCUAGUGUUUUGUGUUUAUUUUGAAGUUGGCACAGGGUUUUCUUAAAGGACUUAUUCAUUGGUUCAUUUUGUAAAAAAAGGAGGGGCUUUAAGAAACGUGUAGAGGCAGAAUUCUCCCUAAAUGAGAGGCUUAACAGUUUUACAUAGUUUUAGAAUGUAGUGGUGACUACCCCACUUAGUAAGGAACAAUGAAUCAUUUAUUAAUUACGAGAUAAUUUUAGAUGACCAGCCGUCCCAGAUUCCACUGGAGGUUUCUAGGACUUCAUGUCCCAGGGACCCUGUCAUCCCAGAACUAGGAAUGCUGCUGUGGAUAUCAUUGGUCUGCUCUGAUCCCAGCCUUAAAAGGAAAGAGAGGGAAGAGAGUCUAUACAUCAGCCUGGAACCUGGUGAGAAAAGUGUCUACCUCAUUCUUCAGGUGCUGAUACCGUUCAGAGGCAUGCAUGGAAGAAGAAAGGGGCUAGGAUGGGAAAGGAUAUUGAUUUCCUGGAACAAGUGGGGCUGGAAGUCCCCAAAGGGAUUUGUGAGCAACUUCCCAGCAGUCAAGGCCCUAACUGGACGUCAGGGUGGCCCCUGCCUUCUGGACAUCAGGGAGCCCAAAGGCCAGAACCAGGAAGUGAGAUGCAGGAAGCCUCGUGAAGGUGUGCAGAGUGGGACUAAUAUCCCUGGUAAGCAGUUUAUGGGGUUACCACGAAGAUGCCAGGUGGACAUGCUUCUCCUUCAGUUUUACCAUGAAUUCCUUUCUUUAGGUUUGUUGAACAUGGAUUGUGAACACACUAGUUUCACUAUGUAUUUAUUCAUUUGUGGGCAGAUUCCAGCAGGGCAUAAGCAGAACGGGUACAAAUAUCUCAUGUUGCCCCUGCCCAUAGUAGGGAUUGUACUUUUGGGAAAGAGACUUUUCUCUGGAGGUUGCUCAGCUUGUACAAGGGAAAUGUGGUGGAUCUGUUGGUGACCAUCUUGUCUCCAGAAGGGGCGAGCUUGUUUGAGAAUGCAGCCAACACAGAGAAAAACAGAGACAAGAAGUGGAAAGACAUUCCUAACCUUUUUUGAGUACCUGGGUCAAGCCAUAACUGACAUUCUUCUUUGAUUUUUUAAAAUAUGUGAACCAAGUUUUUUUUUCCCUACUCAAGCAAGUCUGAAUUUGGAUUUCUAUAACAAGCGGUUAAAAGAGUCUUGGUACACUGACACUUGGUAAACUAUGUUUUUUUCAUUCAUUCGAUAAACAUUUGUUGAGUCCUUCUACUGUUUGGCACUGUGCAGGAAACUGAGAAUGUAAAGCCAAUAAGAGCUCCCUCAAGGGGUUAUACCCUGGUGGAAGAGACACUUGAACCAAUAAUCACAGUACUGUGUGAUAAUCAUUAUAAUAACAAUUUGUAUGGGGUGUUAAGUCUGCACUAACUUUGUCUGGGUGUGGAAGAUGUCAUGGCAAGCUUCAUGGAGGAGGUAACAUCUGAUUAGGGGAAUGUCUCUUGAGUGGGAAAAAGAAAUGGAAAAUUACCUAUGUAAUUAGUAUAGAGUGACCAGAAUGUGAAAAAUCCAAAUGUAGGACAGAGAGGUUGACAGGCUGUGAGGUGGCAGGGGUGUCAGUGGGAGGGGGGAGUCAGUCUGGUUGGACCAGAGCUCUCUGACUUGCCCUGACUCAUCAUUUUCUCAGGAUCCCAGCGUUUUUCUGCUCCAUCCCUGAGACUUGCCUCCCAUGUCCUAAUAGGAGACCCCUCCACACCUCUGCUAUGGGCAGGGGCGAUGUGAUGUAUCUGUGCCCAUUCUGCUUAUGCCACACUGGAAUCUGCCCACAAAUGAAUAAAUACAUAGUGAAGUUAGGGUAAAGGUCACUGCCUCCCUUAUAGUAAGGUCUAAUGCCAUUAAGGUUGGGGGUAGGGGUGAGAGAGUAUGCUCUGCUCCACACAGUCGUUCAAACUUUUGUCUAUAGUUCUACCAUCUUCUAGGGCCCUCAGGUCCUCCGUAGGAUUUUCUGUCUGCAUUUCAUUGGCCAGAACUCAGCCACAUAGCACCAUGUCACUGCAAGAAGCUUGGAAAUGAAGUCCAGCACUGUGCCACGGGAGGAGAGGAGAAUGUGGGUAUUGGUGGGCACUAGAAGUUUCUGACACACCUAGAUUGUAAGACAUAAUAAAUGGCUUUAUACAACCAUUACAAAAGCUCAGGUGGUGUCAAUCCACCCACAUUUUUCAGGAAAGAUGCUGAAAACCAUGUAUGAUCAUUAAAUUUUUGAGCCUUUAAGUCACUGAACAUGUUUAAGAACUAGAGCUACUAUUCUGAAUCAGUUCAGAUAUUAUUUUUGUAUUGCAGCUGAAGAAAUAUCAAUAGCAAUUGAUACCAGCAACUAGCUGCAUGAAAGCAAACACUUCUGAAUUAAGCAGAUACAGGCAUCAGUUACUUCGAAACAAAUUCCACACAGAUUCCUUCUCAAUCUAGGAUUACACCCAAAAUUUAGAUAAUGUUUAUACUUGGCUCCAAAAGGAAUGUUUCAAACUGAACUAGUUGUGUUUAUAAGAAGAUAUUACUAGUAAGGAGAUACUGUGUCAGUGGGAGGAUAGCGUUUGGACUAUUUGCCAAAAACAGACUUGAAAUGUUAUGAAUAAUGAUGUUUUGAACUAUAGUCUUAACACAAAAGGCAAAAAAUAGAAUUGUGGAAAAAUAUAGUGGUAUUCUCCAAAUCCUUACAGCAAUUAAAAAUCAAGAGCGAUUUAAAAUUGUAAUGCUGCAGUGAGUUUAAUUUGAAAUUAAAAGUGAUUUUUAUUUUAAAACUGAAAAGUCUCUUAGGGAAAAGACUCAACUGAAGGAAGUAGAGAAAUGAGGACCACAAACUGAUGAGAUGCUCCAGCAAGAAGCAGAUGGUCUGAAAUACAAAUCUGAGCUGCAGCACUGGGAAGAAAGGCAGAAAAAAGCCGGUGUCUGCGCACCCCAUAUACCCACUUUGAAGCCAGGACUUGGGGAGCUAGGCAAGGAUGCCUCUCACAAAUGCAAUCUCCAAAGUGUGUCCCUGCAAAAAUCCUUGAAGAUUCUGAGGAGGUUUACCUCUCUCCAUUUGCUGACUCCUUCUAACUCCAGGAUCUCCGGAUAAAUCUACUUCCACAUCUGGAAUCCUUGAGGGGGUGGAGAGGACCAAGACGGCAAGCUUUAGGAGGUAGGGAUGAGGGUGAGGCUCCUGCUCUGCUGAGAGAAUGCGGCCAGGACACUCUGAAACCCUCGGAAGGAACAGGUGGUGUUGGAAGCAGGGGAUCCCAAAUGCGCAGCACUGGAAAGCAUUCCUUGUUUCAUUCUCAGCAUCCCAAAAUGGCUUGCCUGGGACUCCAGUCAUGAAGACACCCACUCUGCCCCCUGAUAGCCACGAGAAAGGCACAGUUCAUUUUCUCAGACUCUUGGUGGUUAGUUAGACUGGCAGCAAGACCAGCUGCUAAGGAAGCUAGUUAUGGGCAAGGUUAUGAUGUCGGUGCAGUAUCUUUCCCAUCCCCAGGGUCCACUUGCUGUGCUUUCAUUUUAAUUCCUUGGUCAUCCCCUCAUCCACUCUUUCCAGAUGCCCAGGACUAAAAACGCACUCUUAUAUAGGGGUCUACUAUCACUUGCUUAAGCCCUAAUACGAAUUUAAAGAUUUUAUUUUUUCCCUUUUCUCCCCAAAGCCCCCCAGUACAUAGUUGUAUAUUCUUCGUUGUGCGUCCUUCUAGUUGUGGCAUGUGGACGCUGCCUCAGCGUGGUUUGAUGAGCAGUGCCAUGUCCGCGCCCAGGAUUCGAACCAACGAAACACUGGGCCGCCAGCAGCGGAGCGCGCAGACUUAACCACUCGGCCACGGGGCCAGCCCCUCUAAUACGAAUUUAAAUAAACACGUUCUUGCCCAAGGGUA